rnacentral:ncRNA from 2 species
GAAGUGGGUGUGAAGCCCACGCGGUGCCGCCACUGUAAGCGGAAAGACGAAUCCCCCGCGCCGGCUCGGCCGGCGGCCACUGUGGACCAUGCGGGUCCAUGGGAAGGCCGGGGAUUCGCGCACCAAUCCGCAAGCCAGGAUA